rnacentral:rRNA from 2 species
UUGUACCUGGAUGGCGAGCGGCGGACGGGUGAGUAAUGCCUAGGAUUCUGCCUGGUAGUGGGGGAUAACGCUCGGAAACGGACGCUAAUACCGCAUACGUCCUACGGGAGAAAGCAGGGGACCUUCGGGCCUUGCGCUAUCAGAUGAGCCUAGGUCGGAUUAGCUAGUUGGUGAGGUAAUGGCUCACCAAGGCGACGAUCCGUAACUGGUCUGAGAGGAUGAUCAGUCACACUGGAACUGAGACACGGUCCAGACUCCUACGGGAGGCAGCAGUGGGGAAUAUUGGACAAUGGGCGAAAGCCUGAUCCAGCCAUGCCGCGUGUGUGAAGAAGGUCUUCGGAUUGUAAAGCACUUUAAGUUGGGAGGAAGGGCAGUUACCUAAUACGUAUCUGUUUUGACGUUACCGACAGAAUAAGCACCGGCUAACUCUGUGCCAGCAGCCGCGGUAAUACAGAGGGUGCAAGCGUUAAUCGGAAUUACUGGGCGUAAAGCGCGCGUAGGUGGUUUGUUAAGUUGAAUGUGAAAUCCCCGGGCUCAACCUGGGAACUGCAUCCAAAACUGGCAAGCUAGAGUAUGGUAGAGGGUGGUGGAAUUUCCUGUGUAGCGGUGAAAUGCGUAGAUAUAGGAAGGAACACCAGUGGCGAAGGCGACCACCUGGACUGAUACUGACACUGAGGUGCGAAGCGUGGGGGAGCAAACAGGAUUAGAUACCCUGGUAGUCCACGCCGUAAACGAUGUCACUAGCGUGGGAGCUUGAGCUCUUAGUGGCGCAGCUACGCAUAGUG